UGACUUUUACCUUCUGGCAAAGUCAUACUUUGAUUGCCGAGAGUAUAGAAGGGCUGCACACGUGCUUCAAGAUCAAACUGGAAAGAAAGCCACGUUCCUGAGAUGUUAUGCUCUUUAUCUGGCUGGAGAAAAGCGGAAAGAAGAGGAGAUGAUAGAACUUGAGGGGCCCUUAGGUAAGAGUGACGCUGUGAACCGCGAGGUAGCAUCUCUGGAGAGAGAGUUAUCAAUACUCCGCAC
rnacentral:misc_RNA from 1 species